AUGGUAUUAAGAUUAAUUAAUGACUUGAAAUCUUUCUAUUGUAUUUUGCAGAUUGGCUUAACCACAUGGAGAAAAAAAGCAAUCACACACCUCAGCAAUGACUGCAUUUUUUUUUCUUUUUCAGGUAAUGGAGAGAGAGCAGGCAGAAGAUGGAGACUCACAAGAGCAUCAGUGGACAUUGAUUUAAAAAAUGCUGGAGGACAGCAGGUUUUUCUUUUUCAGGUAAUGAGAGAGAGCAGGCAAAGGAAGGAGACUCAUAAGGGAAACGGUGGAGAUGUACUUGAAGACCUGAAGCUCAGGAAGCAGACUAGUAUGGAGCAUGUGGAGAAACAGGGAAACACACCUCAGUAAUGACAAGUACAUCAUAACAAUUUAG
rnacentral:lncRNA from 1 species